GACAGAGGGUGCAAACGUUGUCCGGAAUUACUGGGCGUAAAGCGCGUGUAGGCUGCUUCGCAAGUCGGAUGUGAAAGCCCUGGGCUCAACCCAGGAAGUGCAUUCGAAACUGCAGAGCUGGAGUCCUGGAGAGGAAGGCGGAAUUCUCGGUGUAGAGGUGAAAUUCGUAGAUAUCGAGAGGAACCCCGGUGGCGAAGGCGGCCUUCUGGACAGUGACUGACGCUGAGACGCGAAAUCGUGGGGAGCAAACAGG
rnacentral:rRNA from 1 species